UACGUAGGGACCGAGCGUUGUCCGGAUUCAUUGGGCGUAAAGAGCUCGUAGGCGGCUGCUCAAGUCGAAUGUGAAAACUCGAGGCUCAACCUCGAGCCUGCAUUCGAUACUGGGCGGCUAGAGUCUGGUAGGGGGAUCUGGAAUUCCUGGUGUAGCGGUGGAAUGCGCAGAUAUCAGGAGGAACACCGGUGGCGAAGGCGGGUCUCUGGGCCGUAACUGACGCUGAGGAGCGAAAGCAUGGGGAGCGAACAGG
rnacentral:rRNA from 1 species